UACGUAGGUGGCAAGCGUUGUCCGGAUUUACUGGGCGUAAAGGGCGUGCAGGCGGUUUGUUAAGUGCAGGGUGAAAGCUCCCGGCUCAACUGGGAGAGGUCCUUGCAUACUGGCAAACUCGAGGGAGGCAGAGGAAAGUGGAAUUCCCGGUGUAGUGGUGAUAUGCGUAGAUAUCGGGAGGAACACCUGCGGCGAAGGCGGGUUGCUGGGCUGACACUGACGCUGAGGCGCGAAAGCUAGGGGAGCGAACGGG
rnacentral:rRNA from 1 species